UACGAAGGGGGCUAGCGUUGCUCGGAAUCACUGGGCGUAAAGCGCACGUAGGCGGAUUGUUAAGUCGGGGGUGAAAUCCUGGAGCUCAACUCCAGAACUGCCUUCGAAACUGGCGAUCUUGAGUCCGGGAGAGGUGAGUGGAACUGCGAGUGUAGAGGUGAAAUUCGUAGAUAUUCGCAAGAACACCAGUGGCGAAGGCGGCUCACUGGCCCGGUACUGACGCUGAGGUGCGAAAGCGUGGGGGAGCAAACAGG
rnacentral:rRNA from 1 species